CAUGAUAUCAUCAAUGGCUGCAUUUCAACUGGUAAAGAAGCCAAUGUUUACCAUGCUACAAAAUCAUAUGGGCAGGAAUUUGCAAUCAAAGUUUACAAGACUUCAGUCCUUGUAUUUAAGCUCAAGGCAGUUGGAAUAAGGUGCCCAACUCCACUUCUUUUGAGGUUGCAUGUUCUGGUUAUGGAAUUCAUA